rnacentral:rRNA from 1 species
UACGGGGGGAGCAAGCGUUGUUCGGAUUUACUGGGCGUAAAGGGCGUGCAGGCGGUUUGUUAAGUGCAGGGUGAAAGCUCCCGGCUCAACUGGGCGAGGUCCUUGCAUACUGGCAAACUCGAGGGAGGCAGAGGAAAGUGGAAUUCCCGGUGUAGUGGUGAUAUGCGUAGAUAUCGGGAGGAACACCUGUGGCGAAGGCGGCUUUCUGGGCCUUACCUGACGCUGAGACGCGAAAGCGUGGGGAGCGAACCGG